UGGGGAAUAUUGGACAAUGGGCGAAAGCCUGAUCCAGCCAUGCCGCGUGUGUGAAGAAGGUCUUCGGAUUGUAAAGCACUUUAAGUUGGGAGGAAGGGCAGUAAGCGAAUACCUUGCUGUUUUGACGUUACCGACAGAAUAAGCACCGGCUAACUCUGUGCCAGCAGCCGCGGUAAUACAGAGGGUGCAAGCGUUAAUCGGAAUUACUGGGCGUAAAGCGCGCGUAGGUGGUUCGUUAAGUUGGAUGUGAAAGCCCCGGGCUCAACCUGGGAACUGCAUCCAAAACUGGCGAGCUAGAGUAGGGCAGAGGGUGGUGGAAUUUCCUGUGUAGCGGUGAAAUGCGUAGAUAUAGGAAGGAACGCCAGUGGCGGAGGCGACCACCUGGGCUCAUACUGACACUGAGGUGCGAAAGCGUGGGGAGCAAACAGG
rnacentral:rRNA from 1 species